rnacentral:rRNA from 13 species
CUCGACUCCAACAAUUAAUCCAGGUUCCACAUACCAAACCCCAGGAAGCGUUGUCUUUUCUUUUUAACAGUUUGACUUACCCUGGAAUCAGAUCAUCUGGAGAUAGGGUUUUCAAACUGGAAUAGCACCUUGUCUAACAGGGUGUCUGGAGUGUUCUCGCUGGCCCUUGAAAAUCCGAGGGAAUUU